CGGGUGUAGUUUAAUGGCAAAACCUCAGCCUUCCAAGCUGGUGUUGUGGGUUCGAUUCCCAUCACCC
rnacentral:tRNA from 1 species